rnacentral:lncRNA from 1 species
AACAACCUUAUGAGGUAAGCUGUCCUGGUCCUCGGAGCCCUUAUGACAGCAAUUGUCUCUCUCCUUCUGGAAAGUAAUUAAUAGGCGACAUCACUGGACCAAGCAGGGAUACCAGCCCGGAGGUGUCUGCGUUCCUGAUAGUUCGUAUUUUCUAGAAAGAGAAAUUAGCUAGACUAACGGUGCAUUGUGCUAUAUAUUUCCAUUUUACAAUAUAUUUGUCCACUCAAAGCACAGAAACUAACGGUGAUGCAUUGUUGUGCUGUGAGCCUAUGUACAUUUUACAAUAUUUGUCCAGUUAACGUAGAGAAACUAAGUAAAUUUGUACCGAAUUAAACGAUUAUUUUUUUGCCACCUAGGCAUGCGGACUGACAUCACCUCCGACGUUGACGAUCCUCUCUUACUCACCACACCCCAUUUUGUCGACAUUAAUGACAUUUUCCACCGUGCCCUCACCCAUGUCCCAACCUCCUUCCUCGUCUCUAACAGCUUUAGAUGUUUGGUUCCCAGCCACAAACUACCACGCCUAAGAUUAGGUUUGCCAUAAAAUUUGAUAUGUGUUUGGUUCUUAACAAAGCAAGGUUCGCCACAGCCUCCUAGCUCAUCCGCCACAACUUUUGCCAAGGAAAGUAUGGCGACCUUUUUCUCCACAUUCCCCAUGGCGCGCCACCCCUGGCAAAAAGAUUCCACCUACCGCGAGUUAACACUCCCUGAGUUAAUUGAUUAAUUCACCGCAACCAUGUCACAUUUUUAUUACGGAGUUCUCAGCUAUCUAGCUGACCUUUAGGGAAACAACAUAACAUAAGUAGUAGCUAUAUAAAGAAAAGCAAAGUCUAUUACAAUCCUCCCUCCCUCCGUUCUUUAGGAAUAACUACAUGGCCAGAAUCCCCAAUUUCAAGCAUGCCGAACAAAUGGUUUUCCUUAACUCACUAGUAGAGAAUUGGCUUUCGAUGCGCCCCC